GAGUUUGAUCGUGGCUCAGGACGAACGCUGGCGGCGUGCCUAAUACAUGCAAGUCGAGCGAGGGUUUUCGGACCCUAGCGGCGGACGGGUGAGUAACACGUAGGCAACCUGCCUCUCAGACCGGGAUAACAUAGGGAAACUUAUGCUAAUACCGGAUAGGUUUUUGGUAUUGCAUGAUCCGAAAAGAAAAAGAAUGGCUUUUGGUCGAUCACUGGGAGGAUGGGCC
rnacentral:rRNA from 1 species